CAGCAGCCGCGGGAAUACGUAGGGUGCAAGCGUUAAUCGGAAUUACUGGGCGUAAAGCGUGCGCAGGCGGUUUGUUAAGACAGAUGUGAAAUCCCCGGGCUCAACCUGGGAACUGCAUUUGUGACUGGCAAGCUAGAGUGUGGCAGAGGGGGGUGGAAUUCCGCGUGUAGCAGUGAAAUGCGUAGAUAUGCGGAGGAACACCGAUGGCGAAGGCAGCCCCCUGGGCCAACACUGACGCUCAUGCACGAAAGCGUGGGGAGCAAACAGGAUUAGAUACCCCUGUAGUCCCUGUCUCUUAUAU
rnacentral:rRNA from 1 species